rnacentral:rRNA from 1 species
GACGAACGCUGGCGGCGUGCCUAAUACAUGCCAGUAGAACGCUGAAGGAGGAGCUUGCUUCUCUGGAUGAGUUGCGAACGGGUGAGUAACGCGUAGGUAACCUGCCUGGUAGCGGGGGAUAACUAUUGGAAACGAUAGCUAAUACCGCAUAAGAGUAGAUGUUGCAUGACAUUUGCUUAAAAGGUGCAAUUGCAUCACUACCAGAUGGACCUGCGUUGUAUUAGCUAGUUGGUGGGGUAACGACUUACCAAGGCGACGAUACAUAGCCGACCUGAGAGGGUGAUCGGCCACACUGGGACUGAGACACGGCCCAGACUCCUACGGGAGGCAGCAGUAGGGAAUCUUCGGCAAUGGACGGAAGUCUGACCGAGCAACGCCGCGUGAGUGAAGAAGGGUUUCGGAUCGUAAAGCUCUGUUGUAAGAGAAGAACGAGUGUGAGAGUGGAAAGUUCACACUGUGACGGUAUCUUACCAGAAAGGGACGGCUAACUACGUG